rfam:Dichanthelium oligosanthes cultivar Kellogg 1175 unplaced genomic scaffold Do_version_2_scaffold344, whole genome shotgun sequence.
UAUUUGCUGUGAUGACUCCUAUUAGGACGGUAUCUGAAGGGAUGACUUUUAAGUGCACCCCUUCUGAUUAUACCAAAACUGAAUAUGGUAUCUGAGCAAGUU